rnacentral:rRNA from 1 species
GAUGAACGCUAGCGGCAGGCCUAAUACAUGCAAGACGAACGGUAAGUUGAGUAGCAAUACUUAGCCAAGAGUGUCGUACGGGUGCGUAACACGUAUGCAACCUACCCUAUACAGGAGGAUAGCCUAGGGAAACCUGGAUUAACCCUUCAUAGUAUUAUUGGAUGGCAUCAUUUGAUAAUUAAAACUGAGGUGGUAUAGGAUGGGCAUGCGUCUGAUUAGUUAGUUGGCGGGGUAAGUGGCCCACCAAGACGAUGAUCAGUAGGGGUUCUGAGAGGAAGAUCCCCACACUGGCACUGAGAUACGGGCCAGACUCCUACGGGAGGCAGCAGUAGGGAAUAUUGGUCAAUGGAUGCAAGUCUGAACCAGCCAUGCCGCGUGCAGGAAGGAAAGGACCUUCUGGGUUGGUAACUAGCUUUG